AGAAUCAACGCUGGCGGCGUGCCUAACACAUGCAAGUCGAACGAGAAAGUGGGAGCAAUCCCACGAGUAAAGUGGCGCACGGGUGAGUAACACGUGACUAACCUACCCUUGAGUGGGGGAUAAUCUAGGGAAACCUGGGCUAAUACCGCAUAAUACCUACGGGUCAAAGGAGCAAUUCGCUUUAGGAGGGGGUCGCGGCAGAUUAGUUAGUUGGCGGGGUAAUGGCCCACCAAGACAGUGAUCUGUA
rnacentral:rRNA from 1 species